rnacentral:rRNA from 1 species
UUACCCCAACUUAAGUAAGAUUACCCG